ensembl:lncRNA
AAUUCAGCAAAGGGAACACGGUAGAAGAGGGCAUGGAUAACUGGAGCUUUUAUUAUCUUUGGAUGCGUGUAUGGAGCUCAGAGUUCAGAUCUCAUGGCCAGGAAACCUGACAAAGGUCUGUGUCAUUCAUUCAUUCAUUCAUUCAUUCAUUCAUGCAUUUGUUCAUGGCUGAGUUGUAAGUGGUCAUCACAGCACAGCAAGAAACUCUACAACUCACAACCAUAACUGCAGCUAGGUCUUACAAGAACCUCCAAAAUUCGCUUCCUGUUUCUUUCCUACCAGGUUAAACGCAAUAACCAUAACAAGGAACAAACUACAACAUGGAAGUUAAUAGCACAUAGGCAAUGUACUAAUUAUUUCACAGUUGAGUGAAGAUGCUGGCCUUACCUGAGGUAUUUGCACUGGUGCUGUUAGGAAGCAGCAAACCCACCGGCUGUCCUGCGCUCUGGAGCACCAGCUCGCUGCAGAGGGACAGAGUGGGCAGGGGCUUACAAGCACCAUUGGCUGCAUUUCCAGGGAUGGUGGAGUCACUGUUCCUGGGGGUGUUUAAGGAAAGGCUGGACGUGGUGCUUAGGGACAUGAUUUAGUGGGUGACAUUGGUGGGAGGGGGAUGGUUGGACCAGAUGAUCUUGGAGGCCUUUUCCAACCCUAAUGGUUCUAUGAUUAUAUGAUUCCAAACUCCAGGGUCUGACAGAUGCCCACAAGGCUGUGCCCUUGUCAGAUGUUCUUACAUCAGGUGCAAUGCCUGGUAAACACCAGAUCUUUCUGCCUAUUCUCCAGGGUUUUUCAGUUCCUCAGUCCCCAUCCAUGUGUAUGCAUCUGAGUCCCAGACCCAAGGCCACAGGCUCACACAGCAUCGUUUACAGGACGGUGGAGUAAUUAAGUUCACAUGUUCAUUUGGACUGAAUAAACUGCAGCACUCUAAGGAAGCUCGGUGGGCUCCUCUGCUGUGGAGACCAGGAGGCAGAGCACCCAGCUGCCGAGGUGGACAUCAGCCUGGUACCAGGUUAGCACCUACUGCAGGGUCACAGGCCACCCCAAAGGCCUCAGAGCCUUGUCAUCUCCUGUUAGGUGAGGAUCUGGCCUCUGGGCAGUCUCUGAAUUUCCACAAGCUGCCUUCUGCAAUUUUGGUGUCUGCCCACACAUGGUGCAUCAAAGCUGGGACCUGCACGCAACUGGGUACAGACAUGUCCUUGGGGCCCUGUUUCCAGCCGCUGUGGCCCGAGGAGUUCAUAUGAGUGCAGAAUGAUGUGUGAAACCAAAGGCUAGCACAAAUCUGGGCGCAGUUAGGAAGCUGUCCCCAGGAAGAGCUUGACUGAUCUCUAGCUGUUUUUAAAAAACGCUGAGAGUUUGUACUGGGGACAUUUGCGAGGCUGAAAUUUCAGUGGGUAGGCCAAAAUGAGCAUGUCUGAAGAGCUACCUGAAAAGAAGUAUUUAAAUGCACAGGUUUUGCAACUGAGGGCACAAUCUGAGCAUCCGACCAUUCCACCAUAAUGACUUUUGUCCUAAUAAUAACUUAAAUGGUUUCCUAAACAUUAACUUGAACUUGCU